rnacentral:rRNA from 1 species
AAUGAACGUUGGCGGCGUGGAUUAGGCAUGCAAGUCGAGCGAGAACCCCGCAAGGGGGGACAGCGGCGAAAGGGACAGUAAUGUGUAGAUUAUCUGCCCUCAGGUCCGGGAUAGCUGCGGGAAACUGCAGGUAAUACCGGAUAACAUCUCCGGAUCAAAGGUGUGAUUCCGCCUGAGGAUGAGUCUGCAUCCUAUUAGCUAGUUGGCGGGGUAAUGGCCUACCAAGGCAUUGAUGGGUAGCAGGUGUGAGAGCACGACCUGCGUCAUUGGGACUGAGACACUGCCCAGACACCUACGGGUGGCUGCAGUCGAGAAUCUUCGGCAAUGUGCGCAAGCCUGACCGAGCGACGCCGCGUGUGGGAUGAAGGCCUUCGGGUUGUAAACCACUGUCAGAGGGGAUGAAAUGCAGGUGGGUUCUCCCAUCUGUUUGACAUAGCCUCAGAGGAAGGACGGGCUAAGCUCGUG